rnacentral:rRNA from 1 species
GGUAACACUGAAUGGAGGACCGAACCGACUUACGUUGAAAAGUGAGCGGAUGAACUGAGGGUAGCGGAGAAAUUCCAAUCGAACCUGGAGAUAGCUGGUUCUCUCCGAAAUAGCUUUAGGGCUAGCCUCAAGUGAUGAUUAUUGGAGGUAGAGCACUGUUUGGACGAGGGGCCCCUCUCGGGUUACCGAAUUCAGACAAACUCCGAAUGCCAAUUAAUUUAACUUGGGAGUCAGAACAUGGGUGAUAAGGUCCGUGUUCGAAAGGGAAACAGCCCAGACCACCAGCUAAGGUCCCAAAAUAUAUGUUAAGUGGAAAAGGAUGUGGCGUUGCCCAGACAA